rnacentral:rRNA from 1 species
UUGCCAGGUUUCUUGAGUGGGGAACGGGUGAGUUACCAGUGGGUGAUUUUGCCCUGUACUUCGGGAUAAGCUUGGGAACUGGGUCUAUUACCGGAUAGGACCGUUUUUUAGUGUAGGCGGUGGAAAGAUUUCGGUCGGUAGGGGAUGAGCUUGCGGCCUUUCAGCUUGUUGGUGGGGUAAUGGCCUUCCAAGGCGUUCGACGGGUAGCCGGCCUGAGAGGGUGUACGGCCACAUUGGGACUGAGAUACGGCCCAGACUCCUACGGGAGGCAGCAGUGGGGAAUAUUGCACAAUGGGCGAAAGCCUGAUGCAGCAACGCCGCGUGAGCGAUGAAGGCCUUCGGGUCGUAAAGCUCUGUCCUCAAGGAAGAUAAUGACGGUACUUGAGGAGGAAGCCCCGGCUAACUACGUGCCAGCAGCCGCGGUAAUACGUAGGGGGCUAGCGUUAUCCGGAAUUACUGGGCGUAAAGGGUGCGUAGGUGGUUUCUUAAGUCAGAGGUGAAAGGCUACGGCUCAACCGUAGUAAGCCUUUGAAACUGGGAAACUUGAGUGCAGGAGAGGAGAGUGGAAUUCCUAGUGUAGCGGUGAAAUGCGUAGAUAUUAGGAGGAACACCAGUUGCGAAGGCGGCUCUCUGGACUGUAACUGACACUGAGGCACGAAAGCGUGGGGAGCAAACAGGAUUAGAUACCCUGGUAGUCCACGCCGUAAACGAUGAGUACUAGCUGUCGGAGGUUACCCCCUUCGGUGGCGCAGCUAACGCA